rnacentral:ncRNA from 2 species
AGGCAGUGCAUUGCUAGCUGG